UGGAGUCAGGACAUAGUCCCCACCUCACAGUGUUUUCAAACUGAGGUCACAAUCCUGAAAACAUUUGGGUGAAUAUUAUAUUUUCAUGUGUGCAAGAGGUUCCCACUUAAACAUCAGCUGGGGAAAAUUUACAGAAAGACCACACCUGCUGAGCUUCAGCCUGCUGGCAGGCACUGUAUAGAGGCCUAAUGGGAAUUAGGCAGGGAAGAAAGGUUGCCUGGAUUUUAAAAGGGUGUGAACCUUCCAAGCUCUCAGGCUGCAGAGAUUUCCACUCUCUUCCAUCAAAGUCUUUGGAUACUUUGCUGCUGGACUAAGAUCUGUGUCUAGCACAUUUCCGGAUAAAGAUCUGCUCCAAGAGGGGUCAUCCAUUCUCUGUUCCUGUCAGAAGAUGCGUCCCAGAUAAAGGAGUUAAUCUGUUCUUCCUGCUGCAUUUAUCUGGCAAGAGAGAGACGAUUAUGCUAAACUGGGGGACCCUGAAGUCAGCACAGUUUACAGCUCCAUCCGCUUUGCUGAGAGAAAAUGGUGGAGGAAUUCAGCUGAUCAUCACAAGCAGAAGAGAACUGCAACCACUAGCAUCUUAGCGGUUACAGCAGCUUUGGGCUCACCACCCUUCUCAGUUUGGUAUGGCUUGAUGGCUCCAUGGUGUCUUCCACAUCUUCCAUGUCUCAAAACAGCACUUGACUAGCUGAGCUGAGCUUGAGCUUGAAACUUGCAACAUAUUCUAAGGCCAGGGAGGACAGAGAGUACUUCUGCGUUCCUUCAAGUUCAGGUUCCUCAGACAAGGGCUCAAGUGGGCCUCAAGUGAGCAGGCGCCUUCCAUCUUCUGCUUGGCCCAAAUGCACUCCAGUAAUUAGGUAGCUCACAACGGUUUUCUGAGUUGGAGUGGACCUACACAAGGAGCAAAUCCUUUAAUUCAGGUCUCUGGAUUCUAUCACAUAGGAAAGCACUUAGACAAAUGAAAGCAUUAGAUCAAGGGAAUGGGGUCAGACCAAGGACCCUCUUAGCCCCAGACACAGUCUCCAAAUGUGAAUAUUGAGCACAUUAAAUAUUUGAAGAGCAGAGACAGUUUCCUGCAGCUCACGAAGGUGAACAAAAGAACACAGAAGAAAUAAGCACUGGUAUUCAACUCAAAUGCUAUUCUGUACCCCUCAAAGAAUUAUACUUUUUGAGGACUCAAGGCAAAGAGCCAACUGCCUGGAGGCAACUCCUCAUGAGUUUAUGACAUAAUAUACAGUAAAGAAAUACAGUCAACUCUUCACAUUUAAAGAAAUAUGACAAAUGUUAACUUCUGUUGGAACUAUAUCUUCAAGAUUCAUAAAACCCCAUCAACUACAGCGCCAUCCGUAGAAAAGUGAUGUGAUCUCUUUUCAGAGUGCCCAGCACUGGUCUUGUUACACAGUUUGUUCCAUUUUUUGAGAAAACUCACUGGGAUCACCUGUCUCAAUUCUCCUAUAUCCAUGGAGUGAGGUGUUUUUAUGACUAAAAUAAGUUGAUUCACAUCUUCCACUGGAAGGAAAACCAUGCUCUCUGCCCCUCUUCUGCUGCUGAUAAAAGUCAAUCUAGGUUAAAACAAACAAUGAAACACAAGUGGCUUGUAUCAAACACUGUAGUGACUUUUGCCGGUAUACUCUCCUGAAUUCUGGCUCAGAAGCCAGCUGAGUUAGAGGCAGUGAAUUUGAUUUAGA
ensembl:lncRNA